AUGGUCAUGUUAAUGGUAGGAGCUUGGAAAUGAACGGGUCAAAUGGAUACAAGUUCAAGUAUGAAGCUCGCAAGGAUGCAAGGUAAGUAUAACUUACACUAGUCAUAUAUUUUAGAAUGUUCUUUUGUCGUAUUGACUACGAAUAAGACAAAUGGUAAUUUAGUCACACGUUGACAAUAAUCGUUAGUUUUAAAAGACGCUUUCCCGCGUAAGACAUAAAGAGCCGAAAGUGGUAAUAAACGGUUUAUAAAUAAAAUGAGCAUACGGUGUUAAAAGGAACGAGUCAUGUAGAUGAGAUGAUAAUAAAUAUUAUCUCGCAAAGAUAAACGGUCAAUUCGGCCAAGGGGGUCAAAAGGUGUAGACAUCACCUUUUGACAAUAUCGACUAAUGAUUCUGGUGUCGAGUUAUAUGUUUACAGGAGUAGAUAUCCAAUGGAUACUCGCAUCGCUCUUAAUUAGCAAUUAUAAAGCAAGGUAUUAAACCGGGUUAGUAAGUUGAUCCGAGCCAGGUACAUUUUGAAUGCCGGAAGACGAUUAAGCUCAUUGGAGAACCGAAUACGAUAAAGAUACAUGCUUCCGCACAGUGUCCCGUCGUAAAUUUUAAACGACGAAUUCAAUUACGUUAUGUCGAAUAACUUAUGAUUUGUAAAAGUUUUAAUAAACCCAUAUUUUUAUAGUAUGUGUAGUCUUAUCUACACAACUAAUUGUUGGUAAUUAUAUGUAAAACCGUUA
rnacentral:lncRNA from 1 species